rnacentral:rRNA from 1 species
AGAGCGGCGGACGGGUGAGUAGCGCGUGGGUAACCUGCCCUGUACACACGGAUAACAUACCGAAAGGUAUGCUAAUACGAGAUAAUAUGCUUUUAUCGCAUGGUAGAAGUAUCAAAGCUCCGGCGGUACAGGAUGGACCCGCGUCUGAUUAGCUAGUUGGUAAGGUAACGGCUUACCAAGGCGACGAUCAGUAGCCGACCUGAGAGGGUGAUCGGCCACAUUGGAACUGAGACACGGUCCAAACUCCUACGGGAGGCAGCAGUGGGGAAUAUUGCACAAUGGGCGAAAGCCUGAUGCAGCAACGCCGCGUGAGCGAUGAAGGCCUUCGGGUCGUAAAGCUCUGUCCUCAAGGAAGAUAAUGACGGUACUUGAGGAGGAAGCCCCGGCUAACUACGUGCCAGCAGCCGCGGUAAUACGUAGGGGGCUAGCGUUAUCCGGAAUUACUGGGCGUAAAGGGUGCGUAGGUGGUUUCUUAAGUCAGAGGUGAAAGGCUACGGCUCAACCGUAGUAAGCCUUUGAAACUGGGAAACUUGAGUGCAGGAGAGGAGAGUGGAAUUCCUAGUGUAGCGGUGAAAUGCGUAGAUAUUAGGAGGAACACCAGUUGCGAAGG